rnacentral:tRNA from 1 species
UGCAAUGUAUUUUAUUUAAAAUAUUUACUUUACACGUAAAAGAACCACUUGAGGUGGCUUUGUGA